UACAGAGGCCUCAAGCGUUGUUCGGAUUCAUUGGGCGUAAAGGGUGUGUAGGUGGCGCCGUAAGUCGGGUGUGAAAUUUCGGAGCUUAACUCCGAAACUGCAUUCGAUACUGCGGUGCUUGAGGACUGGAGAGGAGACUGGAAUUCAUGGUGUAGCAGUGAAAUGCGUAGAGAUCAUGAGGAAGACCAGUGGCGAAGGCGGGUCUCUGGACAGUUCCUGACACUGAGACACGAAGGCCAGGGGAGCAAACGGG
rnacentral:rRNA from 1 species